CGUAUCACCCAAGACAACUUUACGGAGUUGACGAUUGACGGAGCGAAGCGACGUCAAAGCGUUCAUUAAAGUCGAGUUGGCUUAGGGAUACGUUCGUUGGGUAGGGGAGCGUUCUGUAAGCCUGUGAAGGUGGCCUGUGAGGGUUGCUGGAGGUAUCAGAAGUGCGAAUGCUGACAUAAGUAACGAUAAAGCGGGUGAAAAGCCCGCUCGCCGGAAGACCAAGGGUUCCUGUCCAACGUUAAUCGGGGCAGGGUGAGUCGACCCCUAAGGCGAGGCCGAAAGGCGUAGUCGAUGGGAAACGGGUUAAUAUUCCCGUACUUGGUGUUACUGCGAAGGGGGGACGGAGAAGGCUAUGUUGGCCGGGCGACGGUUGUCCCGGUUUAAGCGUGUAGGUGUGUGUUCCAGGUAAAUCCGGUUCACUUUAACACUGAGGCGUGA
rnacentral:rRNA from 1 species